CUACGGGAUGCUCCAGUGGGGAAUAUUGCACAAUGGGCGCAAGCCUGAUGCAGCCAUGCCGCGUGUAUGAAGAAGGCCUUCGGGUUGUAAAGUACUUUCAGCGGGGAGGAAGGGAGUAAAGUUAAUACCUUUGCUCAUUGACGUUACCCGCAGAAGAGGCACCGGCUAACUCCGUGCCAGCAGCCGCGGUAAUACGGAGGGUGCAAGCGUUAAUCGGAAUUACUGGGCGUAAAGCGCACGCAGGCGGGUUGUUAAGUCAGAUGUGAAAUCCCCGGGCUCAACCUGGGAACUGCAUCUGAUACUGGCAAGCUUGGGUAUCGUAGAGGGGGGUAGAAUUCCAGGUGUAGCGGUGAAAUGCGUAGAGAUCUGGAGGAAUACCGGUGGCGAAGGCGGCCCCCUGGACGAAGACUGACGCUCAGGUGCGAAAGCGUGGGGAGCAAACAGGAUUAGAUACCCCCGUAGUC
rnacentral:rRNA from 1 species